rnacentral:rRNA from 1 species
UACGUAGGUGGCAAGCGUUGUCCGGAUUUAUUGGGUUUAAAGGGUGCGUAGGCGGUCUUAUAAGUCAGUGCUGAAAUAUCCCGGCUUAACCGGGAGGGUGGCAUUGAUACUGUAGGACUUGAGCAAAGUUGAGGUUGGCGGAAUUGACGGUGUAGCGGUGAAAUGCUUAGAUAUCGUCAAGAACACCGAUAGUGUAGACAGCUAACUAAGCUUUAACUGACGCUGAGGCACGAAAGUGUGGGGAUCAAACAGG